UUAAGUUCAGCGGGUAUCCCUACCCGAUCCGAGGUCAACCUGAGAUAAAAGCUUCGCGGCGCGUCCGGUCGUCCUCGCCAGCGAUUUAGUUAUCACAACGCUGAGAUUCCGACACGUCCAGCCGACGAUUUUGAGGCGCGGAUCCAUGCUCCGACGCCCAAUACCAAGCGAGGCUUGAGUGGUGUAAUGACGCUCGAACG
rnacentral:misc_RNA from 1 species